UACGAGGGGGGCGAGCGUUGUUCGGAAUUAUUGGGCGUAAAGGGCGCGUAGGCGGUGCGGUAAGUCACCUGUGAAACCUCUGGGCUCAACUCAGAGCCUGCAGGCGAAACUGCCGUGCUGGAGUGUGGGAGAGGUGAGUGGAACUGCGAGUGUAGAGGUGAAAUUCGUAGAUAUUCGCAAGAACACCAGUGGCGAAGGCGGCUCACUGGCCCGAUACUGACGCUGAGGCACGAAAGCGUGGGGAGCAAACAGG
rnacentral:rRNA from 1 species